AGCAGCCGCGGUAAUUCCAGCUCCAAUAGCGUAUAUUAAAGUUGUUGCAGUUAAAAAGCUCGUAGUUGAAUUUCGGGAUCAUUAGGUUGGUCGUGCCUCUGGUAUGUACUGAUCUCGGUGGCUCCUACUUCUUGAAGAACCGUAAUGCCAUUAAUUUGGUGUUGCGGGGAAACAGGACUGUUACUUUGAAAAAUUAGAGUGUUUAAAGCAGGCAAUCGCUUGAAUACAUUAGCAUGGAAUAAUGAAAUAGGACGUUCGAUCUUAUUUUGUUGGUUUCUAAGAUUGACGUAAUGAUUAAUAGGGAUAGUUGGGGGCAUUAGUAUUCAAUUGUCAGAGGUGAAAUUCUUGGAUUUAUUGAAGACUAACUACUGCGAAAGCAUUUGCCAAGGAUGUUUUCAUUAAUCAAGAACGAAGUUAGGGGAUCGAAGACGAUCAGAUACCGUCGUAGUCUUAACCAUAAAC
rnacentral:rRNA from 1 species